AGUGAACGCUGGCGGCGUGCUUAACACAUGCAAGUCGAACGAGAACGGAUUAUAGCUUGCUAUAAUUGUCAGCUAAGUGGCGCACGGGUGAGUAAUGUAUAGGUAAUAUGCCUCUUACUAUGGGAUAACAAAUGGAAACGUUUGCUAAUACCUUAUACUCCUUAUUAACAUAAGUUAAUAAGGGAAAGAUUUAUUGGUAAGAGAUUAGCCUGUAUUGUAUCAGUUAGUUGGUGGGGUAAUGGCUUACCAAGACUAUGACACAUAACUGGUUUGAGAGGAUGGUCAGUCACACUGGAACUGAGACACGGUCCAGACUCCUACGGGAGGCAGCAGUGGGGAAUAUUGCACAAUGGACGAAAGUCUGAUGCAGCAACGCCGCGUGGAGGAUGACACAUUUCGGUGCGUAAACUCCUUUUAUAUGAGAAGAUAAUGACGGUAUUAUAUGAAUAAGCACCGGCUAACUCCGUGCCAGCAGCCGCUGUAA
rnacentral:rRNA from 1 species